GAAACAGAUUUAAAAUAUGGAGCCAGUUCUGAAUUCACUUGAUGCGAAAAAACAAGCAUGCGAUAUUGAAAAAUCUAAGGAUGAUGGUGAUAAUAGUGUUGAAAUUAUUUCUUAUGGUGCAAUGUUCAGUCCAUACAAGUCUAAGCUUCAACGUCAAUUUAGUGAAGAGGAUCGGAAGUAUGAGAAUCAAAAGAAAAGAUCUAAGAGACUCUCUGAAUGGAAAUGAGUCGAGAUUAUAAAUUUAGAUGAUUCUGAG